rnacentral:rRNA from 1 species
UGGGGAAUUUUGGACAAUGGGCGAAAGCCUGAUCCAGCGAUGCCGCGUGUGUGAAGAAGGCCUUCGGGUUGUAAAGCACUUUUGUCCGGAAAGAAAUCCUUGGCUCUAAUACAGUCGGGGGAUGACGGUACCGGAAGAAUAAGCACCGGCUAACUACGUGCCAGCAGCCGCGGUAAUACGUAGGGUGCAAGCGUUAAUCGGAAUUACUGGGCGUAAAGCGUGCGCAGGCGGUUUGCUAAGACCGAUGUGAAAUCCCCGGGCUCAACCUGGGAACUGCAUUGGUGACUGGCAGGCUAGAGUAUGGCAGAGGGGGGUAGAAUUCCACGUGUAGCAGUGAAAUGCGUAGAGAUGUGGAGGAAUACCGAUGGCGAAGGCAGCCCCCUGGGCCAAUACUGACGCUCAUGCACGAAAGCGUGGGGAGCAAACAGGAUUAGAUACCCUGGUAGUCCACGCCCUAAACGAUGUCAACUAGUUGUUGGGGAUUCAUUUCCUUAGUAACGUAGCUAACGCGUGAAGUUGACCGCCUGGGGAGUACGGUCGCAAGAUUAAAACUCAAAGGAAUUGACGGGGUCAUAGCUGUUUCCU